rnacentral:lncRNA from 1 species
UCUACCAACACUCACUGCUCCAACCACAAAACAGGGACACUUCCAUUUUCACCCUCCAUCCCAGACCAAGUGAUUCGAAUUUAAGCCAAGUGGGUGCCUCUGACUAUACUGGUAUUUAAUGCUGAUUAAACCUUGGAAUCACCUGGAGAGCUUGGCCUCUAAUGUUGCCUGGGCUCCACCCUUGGAGAUCCUGAUUUAAUUGGUCUGGGGUGGGGUGCAGGAGUCAGCAUUUUUUUAACAGCUUUCCAGAUGAUUCUUUUCUGUAGCUAGGUUGAGAAGUGCAGGAAUCAAAAACAGUAGAGAUUUCAGGAUAGAAAGAACAGCACAAGGAUUCAUCACUAUUCAAGACCUUACCUUGCUACACAAAACAUCAACAUCUCUGUCCUAUCUGCGUGCUUAGUUCAAUUAGUUUCCUGUGUGACUACGUCUGCUACGGAAAGAAGAUGGAGGUUUCAUCUUGACUCUGACGUGGAGUGAGACACAUUCCCAGCUCUGCUGCCCUUGUCUCUCAAAGCUGAGAGUCCUUUCGACAAGAGCUUUUAUCUCCCUUAAGCUGAAGCCUGAGGAGUCAAGAUGCAGCUGCCACGGAGAGCCAAGGCGACGCAGCGGCCCUCGCCUCUCCUGGCCACCAGAGUUCAGCUCCCUGCUGAUCUUUGCAAUCACCAACAUCCUUACCCCUCCUGAAGCUGCUCCAAGAUGAGGUGGAAAUAGACCAGAAGUCCAAGAAAGUCUUGGGGCCUGCCUUGCUCCCAGGCAAGAGGUCAGAAACCUAUCAGACCCCACAGAAGAAGGAUGGGCGCUUCUCCCAGCUCCCUCAAAGCUGCCCCAACUGCUGAGAGUAAUUCUAAACCUGCAUAUAUGGAAGCCAUCAACGUCAGUCCAGGAAACAUGUAGAUGCUGUUUCAGGGUGUUCCAUUCCAAGAAUGUGGUUUCUUUCUGUAUGUGGUUUCUUUUAAAUGUGCAAUCCUUUACUGCCCAGGUUUGGGAAAAGAAAAAAAUAAAGAUGCAUACUUGUAAUUAAAACCGGGCCAUGGGAGACUGUUUAUAGAACAGUAAAAUGUUUAAAAAAAAAAAAUCAGAACAUCUCAGCCCCCCCAAAGGAGAAGCCAUUUAUUUUUCUUCUAUAUAAUUUAUGCAAUGCCAAAGCUGCGUGAACCCUGGUGAUGGGGCCUCCGCAGGCGUAGACCGUCUGCACUGUCAGCGCCGAGGCAUA